AGAGUUUGAUCCUGGCUCAGAACGAACGCUGGCGGCAUGCUUAACACAUGCAAGUCGAACGAAUCUAUGGGGCUUGCUUCAUAGGUUAGUGGCAGACGGGUGAGAAACGCGUGGGAACGUACCCUAAAGUUCGGAAUAACUGUUGGAAACGACAGCUAAUACCGAAUGUGGCAGAGAUGCUAAAGGUUUACCGCUUUAGG
rnacentral:rRNA from 1 species